rnacentral:rRNA from 1 species
AUUGAACGCUGGCGGCAGGCCUAACACAUGCAAGUCGAACGAGGGGCGGACGGGUGAGUAAUGUCUGGGAAACUGCACGAUGGGGGGGGAUAACUACUGGAAACGGUAGUUAAUACCGCAUACCAUCAGAUGUUGCCAGGUGGGAUUAGCUAGUAGGGGGGGUAACGGCUAACCUAGGCGACGGUCCCUAGCUGGUCUGAGAGGAUGACCAGCCACACUGGAACUGAGACACGGUCCAGACUCCUACGGGAGGCAGCAGUGGGGAAUAUUGCACAAUGGGCGCAAGCCUGAUGCAGCCAUGCCGCGUGUAUGAAGAAGGCCUUCGGGUUGUAAAGUACUUUCAGCGGGGAGGCGUUACCCGCAGAAGAAGCACCGGCUAACUCCGUGCCAGCAGCCGCGGUAAUAC